rfam:Ailuropoda melanoleuca scaffold569_35, whole genome shotgun sequence.
CAGCCGCGGCCCCAGGGAGCAGCGCGUACUCCCAGGCUGCGCUCCGGGCGCCCCCCCCCUCCCCGGCCGCCAACAACUGAAUAAACACUCCCGAAGCGCUGGGAUCUGUCAAGGGCUGGGGCCGCAG